rnacentral:miRNA from 1 species
UUUUAAACAUAAAUAUGUUCCAUGCAAUAUUUGGGACAUAACUAUACUAUAA